rnacentral:rRNA from 1 species
AACGUAGGUGGCAAGCGUUAUCCGGAAUUACUGGGCGUAAAGGGUGUGCAGGCGGGGAAGCAAGGGGGGUAUGAAAUCUCCCAGCUUAACUGGGAUAGGUUAUGCCAGACUGCUUUUCUAGAGGACGAGAGAGGGGGGUGGAAUUCCGGGUGUAGUGGUGAAAUGCGUAGAGAUCCGGAGGAACCCCAGAGGCGAAGGCGGCCCCCUGGCUCGUACCUGACGCUCAUGCACGAAAGCGUGGGGAGCAAACAGG